rnacentral:rRNA from 1 species
UACGUAGGCAGCGAGCGUUGUUCGGAGUUACUGGGCGUAAAGGGUGUGUAGGCGGUUAUUUAAGUUUGGUGUGAAAUCUCCCGGCUCAACCGGGAGGGUGCGCCGAAUACUGAAUGACUUCGAGUGCGGGAGAGGAGAGUGGAAUUCCUGGUGUAGCGGUGAAAUGCGUAGAUAUCAGGAGGAACACCGGUGGUGUAGACGGCUCUCUGGACCGUAACUGACGCUGAGACACGAAAGCGUGGGUAGCAAACAGG